CCCGAAAGAUGGUGAACUAUGCCUGAAUAGGGUGAAGCCAGAGGAAACUCUGGUGGAAGCUCGUAGCGGUUCUGACGUGCAAAUCGAUCGUCAAAUUUGGGUAUAGGGGCGAAAGACUAAUCGAACCAUCUAGUAGCUGGUUCCCUCCGAAGUUUCCCUCAGGAUAGCUGGAGCCUGUGUUAUGUGUGUAGUUUUAUCAGGUAAAGCGAAUGAUUAGAGGUAUUGGGGUUGAAAUGACCUCAACCUAUUCUCAAACUUUAAAUGGGUAAGAUGUGCAGCUUACUUGAGUGAAGUUGUACUCCUUUUCUUUYGAAUACAGAGGCUCUUAGUGGGCCAUUUUUGGUAAGCAGAACUGGCGAUGCGGGAUGAACCGAACGCUGGGUUAAGGUGCCCAAGUCAACGCUCAUGAGAUCCCAGGAAAGGUGUUGGUUGAUACAGACAGCAGGACGGUGGCCAUGGAAGUCGGAAUCCGCUAAGGAGUGUGUAACAACUCGCCUGCCGAAUCAACUAGCCCUGAAAAUGGAUGGCGCUCAAGCGUUGCACCUAUCCCCGGCCGCCGUGUGGAGAUAACCAGUGUUGGUGACACGGCGUGUAGGAGGGCGCAGGGCUAUACUGUUUCUUUUUUCAUAAGCUGUACAGGCUGAAGCGUGAGCUCAGCUGAAGCUGGCCCUGGUGCAGAUCUUGGUGGUAGUAGCAAUUAUUCAAAUGAGAAGUGAUUACUUUGAAGGCCGAAGUGGAGAAGGGUUCCACGUGAACAGCAUUUGGACGUGGGUGAGUCGUC
rnacentral:rRNA from 1 species